CCUCUGCACAUCCACAGAGGAGGUUCAGCCUGGGCAGCAGCAGGGCAAGCUUCCCCAGCGGCACCCCCUGCUCGCGUGCUGGCCUGAAGGAACCAUCUCUAGAGCUCUAGAGG
ensembl:misc_RNA